rnacentral:lncRNA from 1 species
CCCAUAAUCCCUAUGCGUUGUGGAGGGGACCUGGUGGGAGAUAAUUGAAUCAUGCAGGCUGUUACCCCCAUACUGUUCUCGUGGUAGUGAAUAAGUCUCACGAGAUCUGAUGGCUUUAUAAGGGGUUUCCCCUUUCCCUUAGCUCUCAUUCUCUCUCACCUGCCCCUAUGUAAGAUGUGCCUUUCACCUUCCACCAUGAUUGUGAGGCUUCUCCAGCCAUGUGGAACUGUGAGUCCAUUGAACCUCUUUCUCUUUAUAAAUUACCCAGUCUCAGGCACGUCUUUAUCAGCAGUGUGAAAAUGGACUCCUACAUCGGGUUCCUACCAGACGGCAGCCUGACCUUGAAGCUGAUCUCACCUCCCUCCUUAUUUAAUGGAAACACCCAAGGUUGAAGCUCUAACCCAUGAUGUGACUGUAUUUGGAAAUAAGAUCUACAAGGAAGUAAUGAAGGUUAAGUGAGAGGAGAGGCCAUGUGAGGAUGCAGAAGAAAGAGAUAAUCUUCAAGAGAACCCUCAUCAGGAAUCAAAUUGUCCAGGACCUUAAUCUGGGACUUCUAACGUCCAGAACUGUCAGAAAAUACAUCUCUGUUGUUUGAGCCACUCAGUCUAGAAUAUUUUGCUAUGGCAGCCAAAGCUGAUUAAUGUAAAUGGCAUAGCUUGUUUCUUUUCUUUUAUUUUUUUUUUGUCUCCAUAUUUACAGUAUGUUUCUUGCCAUCUGUGUAUAUUUGAGUCCUUUUUAUAUAGAUCUGGCAAUCUGUGUUUUUUAAUGAGAGUGUUUAGACCAUUUACAUUUAUUGUGAUUAUAUUGUUAGGUUGAGUCUAUGCUUUUGCUGUCUGUUUUUAAUGUUGGCAUUUUUUUCUUUUUCCAUUUUUAAUUUUUUCCUACCUUUUAAAGAUAACUUGUGGAUAUUGUUGGUGACUAUCUCCUUUGCUGGCUUAUUAUAUAUAGCUCUUUUAUUGUUAUAUUAGUGGUUGCUUCAGGGCUUAUAGUAUAUAUCAUUAACUUACCACAGUCUAUUUUCAAACAAUAUGCCAUAUCAUGUAUAGUAUAAAACCUUGUAACAGUAUACUUGAAUUUCUCCACUACCUGCCUUGAUGGUAUGGUUGUCAUACAUUUUGCUUACACAUGUUAUGACCCCUGCAUUACAUGCUUUUGUUUAAGUAAUUAUCUUUAAAAACAGUUAAACAAUAAGAAUAAAUUUUAAAAUACUUACCUGUG